GUUAACGCUGGCGGUAUGUAUAAUACAUGCAAGUCGAGCGCCCUGCACUUUGUUUACAAUUAGUUUGUAGGUAAAGUGCAGGGAGCGGCGCACGGCUGAGUAAUACGUUGGUAACUGCCCCGAACUCAGGGAUAACACCUAGAAAUAGGUGCUAAUACCGGAUAGUCCCGAAAGGGUAAAGAUUUUUCGGUUCGGGAGGUGCCUGCGGCCUAUCAGCUAGUUGGUGAGGUAAUAGCUCACCAAGGCUAUGACGGGUAGCUGGUCUGAGAGGACGACCAGCCAGAAUGGAACUGAGACACGGUCCAUACUCCUACGGGAGGCAGCAGUAAAGAAUCUUCCACAAUGGGCGAAAGCCUGAUGGAGCAAUACCGCGUGGGCGAUGAAGGUCGAAAGAUCGUAAAGCCCUUUUCUGAGGGAAUAAUUUUGAAGGUACCUCAGGAAUAAGCACCGGCUAACUCCGU
rnacentral:rRNA from 1 species